ACUCCUACGGGAGGCAGCAGUGGGGAAUAUUGGACAAUGGGCGAAAGCCUGAUCCAGCCAUGCCGCGUGUGUGAAGAAGGUCUUCGGAUAGUAAAGCACUUUAAGUUGGGAGGAAGGGCAGUUACUUUAAUACGUGAUUGUUUGACGUACCGACAGAGUAG
rnacentral:rRNA from 1 species